rnacentral:rRNA from 1 species
CAGUCGCCGCGGGAAAACGAAGGGUGCAAGCGUUACUCGGAAUUACUGGGCGUAAAGCGUGCGUAGGUGGUGGUUUAAGUCUGUUGUGAAAGCCCUGGGCUCAACCUGGGAAUUGCAGUGGAUACUGGGUCACUAGAGUGUGGUAGAGGAUAGUGGAAUUUCCGGUGUAGCAGUGAAAUGCGUAGAGAUCGGAAGGAACAUCUGUGGCGAAGGCGACUAUCUGGGCCAACACUGACACUGAGGCACGAAAGCGUGGGGAGCAAACAGGAUUAGAUACCCCAGUAGUCCCUGUCUCUUAUAC